CGGGGGAAGGGGGGGGGCGCGAGCGGUGUCGGGAGUCACUGGGCGGAAAGGGGGCUUGGGUGGCCACCAUAAGGCCGCGGGGAACGGUCGGGGCUCAACCCCGGAUCGGCCGCGGCUACUGUGGGGCUGGGGUACUGUAGAGGCAGAUGGAAGUCCGGGUGUAGCGGUGGAAUGCGUAGAGAUCCGGAAGAACACCAGUGGCGAAGGCGGUCUGCUGGGCAGUGGGAGCGAGAGCUCUCUUCAACCGACACUGAGGCGCGACAGCGUGGGGAGCAAACAGGAUUAGAUACCCCGGUAGUC
rnacentral:rRNA from 1 species